AGAGUAGAUGUGAGCCGGGAUGGCUUGCCGGCAUAUAUAUAUAUAUAUAUGCUUAAAUGCAAACAUCCCUCUGUGGGUAUUGCUGGGAGCCAUCCUGGCUCAUGUUUCCUUU
rfam:Vigna radiata var. radiata cultivar VC1973A chromosome 7, whole genome shotgun sequence